UUACUUUAAAAAUCUAAAUGUUACGGCUAUGGUUUUAUAUCGCUACGCCCUUGGUGCGAAUUGAAAUUAAUUCGUGACUUAACAUUUUGGGAACCUCUGAAAAUAGCACUUAUACAGGGAAAAAGAUUCAUACGGCAACGAAGUGUCUCGACUUGCUAGACCAUUACCAGUUGAAUACUUGCUGGUAGAUGUUCCAGCUUCAACACCAGUGACUCCUCAAUAUACUUUCAAUCCGGAUCCAGAAAAGCAUCCCUUCCCGGUUGAAAACCGAUUUAUAGAUGGACAUAUUCAGGAUUUCAAUGCCUUGACAACAUACCUCCAACAAUUCAACUUCGACGAAUUCUACGAAGCGAUCGACGACUUCCAUUUACUGAUCUACAUUGCCACCAUGGAAAUGCUGCCUAUGCGAGAAUAUUUAGGCCCUCUGUUGGACGCUUUGCGCAACAAAGAUAGGAACGCAGCUACUGAGUGGUCGAGGUCUGAACAAUGGGCAACAUUGGAACAAUUGAUAGCAGCUAGUUCACCGCCACCUUCGAGACCCGGUAGUGUUUCAUCUGGAAACAUUAAUUCCUCUGCCGGAGCAUCAACUGGGCCGAAGUGGACCUGCCCAUUUUGCACGUUCAUCAACGAGUCCGACGCUCACAGUUGCGAGAUGUGUAACUUGCCUCGGUCGCGGUCUUAGGACGGGCAUCCCGAAACCGAUGAGCCUCUUGAUGUGGAAUAGAUUUUCCUUUCUAACGGUCCCCAAGUAGCUCGAAAAAGGAUAAAGGGGACAAGCCGCGUUUUUACAGAACGUUUUUUAACACAUCAAAUGUUACGUGAAUAAUUCGGUUCAGUUCUAAUUUAUUUUCUUUUGCUGUAAAUACAUACUAUAUACAACUGUUUUCAUUUCUGUAGAUAUAAGACGGUUUAUUUUAACAUACCUAUAUAAUGAAAUGGUGAAAUGAAUAAAAUUUUUC